UUACCAGUGUUUUGCAGAAUCGUUCCUAAAAUGCUUCCAAAGCUUCCUGUUGACAGCUCCAGCCCUCAACGAGGUGUGUUAUGCUCUCAUUGUGGUAUUCUAAGUAGAAACCACCAUAUUUUGUAAAGACUAAACUUUUCAUUUUAAUUCAUGUUAAAUCUGUGUCUCUUUUUUGACUCAAAGCAUCAGGGUCAUAACCUCUCAGUGACUAGUUGAACAUCUGAGCUGAUUUCCUGCAACACCUAACUCAGUAUUAUUAUACAAUUUAUUUGAAUCUGAUGUACAGUACACCAGAUUUAGCCGAUGAAAAGCAGGAUUUGCACUUUGCUGGAGUUUGAUUAGUCUAUAAAUUCCACUGGUGUUUUAGUUUCCUCAAGCAUAAAAUUAGACUCUUCCAUAUCUGUGCUAAGACUUAAGCUACACAGAAAUCACUGAAGUAAUUCCUGCCUUCCUGUAAGGAGCAAGAGGCUCAGUUUAUCAGAAAGGUGACUUUCACUUUGUCAUUCUUUUUGUAACUACCCCAAGAAGGGGCACAAGACUAAAGGACAAGCACACAGUGUGCUUAUCCAGGGAAUAAGUGCACCUUUGAAUGACUUACUCUUUAGGGAAAACUUGUGCUUGGAAAGAUUAUGCCAAGUUCUUAUCAUGUGCAAAUGUGCAUGGCAUGUGCACCUCAUGUGAGCUGGCAGUAAAGUCUUUCAAGUGCUCAUUUCUGCUGAAAACACUUAAGUUAUUUUGGAAUGGAGCAGAAGACCAGUAAAGAGCUAAGCUGAGGGUCUUCUCUUUACUUCUUCCACCUUUCUGUAGUCCAGGCCCCUGUGGACAAUGACAGGGACAUCCCACCUCCUGCGAGGACUUCCCAUCUGCUGUGGCUUGUCUUGCUGGACAAAUCUCCAAUAUUCAGCAAAGGUGUGGAACAUACCUUUAUCUUGGAGUUACUGCAUAGCUAACUGCAUCUCAAGCAUUUCCUUGUAUACUGAGGACAGCAUAUGAUAAUAUUCUCUGUGACAAAGAAAAGCACACAGCAUCUCAUUAUUUCAAUUAGCCAGGAAUGUAAAAUGGGAUAUGGAGAGGACUUUGAAUGAAACAAUGACGAGAAGUUCUCCUGGAAGAGUAAAUUAAGGGAAGGUGGGUUUUUGUUUUCAUGGUUUUGUUUGUUUGGGGGUUUUUUGUUUGUUUGGCUUGGUUUGUUUUUUGUUUUUGUUUUAAUUUCACAUCAUAUCUUUAUACACUUCACAAAGAUUCAAAUGUAAUUGCAGCACUCACACACAGUUGAAUAACUUACCCUCAUCCUGCUGGUAACCGUCUGUUAAGCACGUGUAAUCCGUAAGCACCUCAAGUGAGGGUGGGGGACAUGACUUGGGGGACAUGCCCCAGGAGCAGCAGGGAGGCAGGGAGGGAUGGUGGCCCAGUGCCCUGUCCAGAGUGCACCCUGCCCGUGGGCUGCCCUCAGCAGUGGCAGGUUUUGCAGAGCCACACACAUGGUGGUAUGGGGUGGAAACAAACAUGGCAAGAGGGUGGGACCAGACUCUUUUCAGUGAUGCCCAACAGGCACAGACAUUCCAUAGGACAUUCCAUCUAAACAUGAGUAGAAACUUUACUUUGCGGGUGUCAGAGCACUGGAACAGGCUGACCAGAGAGGUUGUGGAGUCUCCUUCUCUGGAGACAUGAAAAACCCACCUGGACACAUUCCUGUGUGAUCUUCUCCAGUGAACCUGCUUUAGCAGGUGGGUUGGACUAGACAAUCUCCAGAGGUCCCUUCCAAGCCCAUCCAUUCUACGAUUCUGUGAUGGCAAAGGUUUUUGAAUCCCUGGGCUGCUUGGAAACAUCAGGUCAGCUCAGGACAGCCCUGCAUGUUUCACAACCUCACUGGUCACUGGGUGGGCUGUUGCAAGGGGAACGGCCAAGCGCUAAAUUUGCAGGGCAGGAGAAAACACAGGUAAAUGAUUACGAGGAAUGAUUACAAAGCACGUGUGUGGCAUAAAAGGAUAAAUAGUAAAUACAAAAUUUCUUAAUCCCAGUUGUUCAGCUGUGCCUUGUGAAGUGUUUCAGUGAGCUUGUCCCCCGCCCUACGCUUGGGUACGCUUUACAAGAAGUUUCAGGUAAUGGGAGUUUAAAAAUUAACCGGUGCAACCUGUGCUGUACGCUCAGGAGGCAGGGCCCUUUGAAGUGGGCAGAAAUAUCCCCACCAUUUUCAAAGGGCUGUGAAACGGGCCCUGAGCACACGGAGGUAGUAGUUGAUUUUACACUUGAACACAAAGAUGCCCUGCAAGUGAGUGGCAUGGCUGGGCCAGGACACACCAAAGAGCCUUAGCCCCACCGUCCCACUGCCAGGGAGGUGGCCAGGGGCAGAGCCAGUGCACAGCCACUUUGUGUAACAUGGCAGCCAGCCAGUAUGGCAUCCAUACUGCAGCCGUGCCUCUGGCAGGCACCAACCUCCUGUUAGCAAGAUUAAGGCAAUGCAGAAAGACGUGGAAAAAUACAAUCUGCCCUUCUGCUGAGUACAAAUGUCCAGUCUUGGGAAGAGCUGCGACCCUGAAGUAACCCCCUGGGAAGCCACCUUUGCUUGGCAAUGGGAAUGGAGUGGAAGGUAAGUUUAGUACGGGAUAGCCGAAAAUACUGUGAAUACUGAGAAACACACUAAAGGGUAAAACAUCCAGGGUCUUGGAGUAAAAAGGACAUAAUGUGGCAGCAGACUGCUGCUUCUCCUACAACUGCAAAAGAAAAUGAAGGUCCUCUUUGAGCAAUCAUACAGAAAGUCUAGGGUUAGGUGGCAGCCAACAGCAGCAGCUCCUUUAUUUAGAUCUCCUUUUCUUAUCUUCUGAUGGAGAAGGAAUGACCCCAUGCUUGGUGGAACAAAAGUAAAAAAUCUUGCUCCUGGGCGUCUAGAAGGCACUGCAGAGAAUGAAGGCAGCUUCCCAGCCAGCACUGAGGUGCAGGCACAGCUCGGCAUCACCUAACGCGGCUGACAGCGUGCCUCACUCUGCUGCCAGACCAGCUCCUGCCUCGCCCAGCUGGGGACAAGCCAGAGCGUAGCUCCCAAUUGCUGAGGUACUCCAGUCUCCACUCUGUGCCUCUUGGGUAGCAGGGCAGCAAGGCUUCUUCCACACCAGCCCUUUUGGGCUUCUCUCCUUAUAUUGCUGUGUCUCAGCCCCAGCUCCACGUCCUUGGGGUGGCCUCACUAUGGCUUGGUGGCACUGCCGAGAUGCACAAUGCCAGUUCCAAGGCACUGGUAAGGGACUAACCAAGGCCAGGGAGUAAUGCCUGAGCAUCACGCUAUGGAUAUCAGAUUUGGACUCCAUCUUCAGAGAGGAUUCCCUCUGAACUCAUUCUUGUUUCCCUUGCAUGACAAUAUGGCUACCUCAGAGUCCAGGCACACCCAUCUUGAGACUGAAGGCUUUUUAUAAGUAAUUUUCUUUAAUUAUUAAUUACCUUCAGUGUUUUAAGAAGGUAAUUUGAAUUGUGUUGUACUGUUGCUAGUGUCUGAUUGUACUCCUUAUAAUUGUUUUAGAAGAAAAAACUGUAAAAAAUAAUAGCAUAUUACAAAUAAUAAUUCAUAUAAAAUAUAAACACACAUAAAGUAUUACACCAGAUAUCUUCAAAAUAUUGGUAUGUGAUACAAGUUUCCAGCUUGUAAGAACCACAGAUGUUUCCAAGGAGCUCAUUAAUUUUUCCAAUUUUUGUGAAUGUGCCUGAGCACAUAAUCAAAAUUGUAUGUUUUAUCCAAACAAUAUCUUCCUCUUUUAACCGUAUGAGCUCUAUUUAGUGUUAUCCAUUGGGAUCUACACAAUUUGGUGUGACAUUCCACAAGGACAGCCACUAUUUCUGGCACACCAUGGGAACAGCUACGCUUAAGCAGUCCAGUUUGGGAUCCAGACAAGUAAAAUUCUCCAGAACAAGACCUUGCUCACUCCAGCACCUGAGUUGAACACAAAUAAGCACUUCAGGCUGUUUUAUUGUAACUCUAGUAUUACUUGCUUCCUUGGCAACUUUACUUUAACUCUAUAUAUGUGAAAAACACACAGAGUAGUAUGAACUCCUGGAAAAUACUACUUGGCAAACUAACGGGACUGGAAGUAAGAACUACAUAGGAAGCACACACAUGACAUAUAAAAAUUUCUGUUAUUAACAAAAAUAUUCAAAGUAGUCCCUUAAAACAGUUUGAGAAGAGCUGACCUGGAAGAGAAGGAUGAACCACAGCAGUGCCUUCUAGCCUCGGUCUCUCUACGGGGCACACAAGCUGACAGCAGAACAAUGUUCAGCUGACAGACAGUUCAGUGGUUAAUGGGUCUCAGCAAAAGUAGAAAACAUUGUGAAAGCUGUUUAUUUCUACUUAAUCAUUAAAGCUUUCUACUCAAAUAAGUUCUGCUCUAUUCGAAUAUGUUCAGCCAUUUCAUUAUAAGAAUUACAUGAAAUAUAUUCCCGGAUUGGUUAGUGACUCUAUAUUGCUGCAAUCCAUAACUUGGUCUGAUUUUUAAAUAUGCAAAGUAGGCACCCCUUAGAUGAUAUAAAAACAUUUUCAGCUACCAGUUGGAAAAAAAAAAAAAAAAAGGUAAUAUUUACUCUAUUUAAAAAAAAAAAGAGAAAACUUAUAUUGCCAAAAAGCAAAGAUGUUCGCAACUAUGUCUUUUACAGUUGGAUGAAUAUUUACAGUUGUUGUCAUUAGACUCAAUUACCAGUGUCAUCCUUACGACACUGUGUGACACCUUUGUAGCAGCUUAUUUCAUAUGCUAUCCAAAUCUGUGAAGUAGCCACUGAUUUUUGAUGGCAGCCUGUAUUUAAAUUAGGCUAUCAAUUGAAUAGAAGUGUUUUAAUUGUUGUCAUUCAUUAUGUUAAUAUUAGGACUAUGAAAACUGAAAAUACAAUUUUAUUUGAAUUUUAUGUCUCAUUCUUCGAUCUAAGUAUUUUCUUAGGCUCCUUAUGGAUACACUGUCCUAGUCAGAUGGACCAACAUGUAGACUUCAGCCAGCUCCUGUGUAAGAUGGAGGCCACUUGCACUCUCCUUGACUUCUUUGGGAAUGAAAGUGAGGAAAACGACUGUUCAGCCUCAACUAUGGUCUGCCAGGGUGCUGAGUAACAGCUUGCUCCCGGCACAGACAGUGGUUUUUCGUGGAGUAACGUUUAAUGUAUUUGUUACAAAAUCCAGCUCUGGGAUUGAAGGAGGUGAAGGUGCGCAAAAUGACUUGGCCCAUUACUUCACAGUGUCACUGCACACCACUUCAUACUCUGUGGGACUGAAGGGUAAUAUCUAAAGAACUAUCAUCUCCCAGUAGUUCUAAUGUAGUAAUGUGUGGUGUCACAUGCUCCAUAAAGCUCUGUAGCUUGUAACACUGCCCCUGAGCUAAAUUAGCCCUACUUCUUAGCAUGGCUAAUCAAUCGAAGCAGAGUCCACCCUCACACAAUACUACCUUUGGUCCUAAAGCCAACUGGUUUGCUGCUGGCUUAAGGAUGCCCAACGGCCAUGCUCCGUUAUAUGGUUUGUAUGGACCUGUAAGUGGAAGUUUUCAAAUGUUGUGAAUAUUUCAAUCUGAUGCCGGUGUGAUUCAGCUGGUGGGUUGUGAUAUGAAGUUGGGAGAGUCCUGUCAGGUCAGAGGCAGCUGUAAGCUGGGAUACCAGAUGAAGGCAAAAUAUUUGCAAUGCUACAUCCAAUCACAAAAGAAAUUAUGAUUUUCUGCAAAUGGAUUUCUGGUCAAGUGUCUUUGCAGAGAGUAAAACAACUAACUCACAUGUUGGCCAAUCCCUCUCUCACGCCCAGCAUUGCUGUGAUACCAGAGAUCUUCCUAUCAGGGUUAUGGGAUGAUAGGAACUGCUGUCUGAGCAGAAGUGCCUGGCCACCAGGUGGAACUGAGUGCCACCUUAAGACUGACAUAUUUCUUUCCCUUUGCCCUCUCAUGUGGGGCAACUGUCCCAAGGCAUCCAGAAGAAAUUAUCUAGGCAAUACAAACCCAGUCCAGUGGCUUCCUUGUGUACUCCAACGCCAACCUCAUCUGCUUAGUUACACAUAUGUAAGAAUACAGUUAAAGAAAAUAUGCCUACUUUUCCCCUGGAAGAGAGAUGCAAAUAUUUUUAAACAGAAAACAUGAGCUGGUAGAUUCUGCUAAAGAAAAGGGAUUUUCAGUAACACGAAAAUUCCCAAUUAAAUAUAAUUCCAGCCUCCUUACUGUAUUAAACAGCAUGCUCAGUGAUUUUACAGGGAUGAUUUGUGUUCUAAAAUAUCUUGGUCUCCUUUAGCCUCCAUUGUAGUUAAAUUUGAAACAUCAGAUAUUGUUAUAGCAACAGUUUGCUUUCAGAAAAACAAAAUUUGUCAGGGAAUAUUUCACUUCCCUAAAGAAUUAAGGAGCUGGUAAAGACUAAAACAGAAAUGUCUGAAAUCACAGGUUAGGGAAUAUAGAAGGAUGAUGUACUACAAACCUCUUAUUACAGAGUGUUGCCAACUUUCACAAUUAUUUAAUAUCUGAAAGCCUCAACACUCAACAUGCUUCCAUUUUUUUUUUAAUUUUAAAAUAAAGUCAGAAAGCAUUUUAAAGGUAAAAUAAAUAGAUGAUAUUUUGUAACGAAAUUUGGGAAAUACUUGCCCACUUAAACUACCUGAACAAGCAGCUUGGAAGUACUAGUAUGCAACAAUGACUACUAAAUAAAGGAUAUGUAUAACAUAAAUGUGUUUAAGAAACUGAGGGACUCAGUAAAGUUGAUAGAUGAUAUGACAGAAACUGUAAUAAUGAAUUCCAGUGGUAUAUACAAGAACAGAGAACUUGAAACGUAAUUCAUGCAUAUAAAAAGUUUUACAUAUUACUCAUGGAAGGCUAGUGGGUGUCACGUGCAUUAAAAGCAUACCACAGAGUUGAGUACCUCAGCCUCAUGCAGGGAAGGAAUCAGGUAAGGGAGCUCAGGACACUGAUGCACAAUUAACACCGUCAAAUGAUUGAAUGACACUGAGAAAGCAUAUGCUGUCAUCUGCAGAAAACUAGUUCAACUGAGAACUGAAAAUCAAAAUGGUGUAUGGCUGUGACUUGUCUUCAUGUAACUUCAUAUAACUUGUCUGUUGUGCCAUAUAGCACCAAUUUUCUAUGUUUUUAUGUUCAAUUUACAAUCCAGACAUUUGUAAUUGAUAAAAUAACCUCUAUAUCCACAGGUUACAGAGACAGUCCUGUGCACUGUUAGGGGGAAAAGGGAGCAGUUUGAGUUAUUUGCUGGACUCUUUAUAACAGAGCACAACCAGAGGCCGAUGUCUUAUUUAGUCAGACUGCCUGGUGUUUAAAAGACAGAUAAAACAAAACAAACCUCCUCUGAUGGAAAAAUGGUUGCAAACAACAGCUGUACCAUGACAUGUGGCUACAUACAUGUCAGGGAAUCAUAGGCAUCUUCUUCAUGUCCCAAAAGCGAAUGAGAGACAAAGCAACUCCUGGAGUCUGCGAGGCAGAGGAACCACUGUGGACUGAAAUGGCAGGUGAGACAACCAGAAGAACAGACAUACCAACAACAGGAACACAGGUAUCUUUGGGGAGACCUGCUGAUCAGACAACAGUUCUGAAUUGCCCUGGUUGAAACAGAGACUGAAUGCAAAUUGCCUAUUUGAAUUCAAAAUUUUUCUUACAUAAACAUUGCUGAUUAAUUUCAUUAGGGUUGGCUUGGAACAGGAAAAAGUGAGUAACUGAGCUUUCUUAGGAGGCAACUGUUUUGUUAAAUAGUUCUGAUAACAGAUUGGUCAUCGGUUCCCACUUGGGUACUGAGUGAAGCAAACCUCUGCCUUCUGUUUUCCAAGAAAACAGAAACAGACUGCCACCCACUCCAACAUCUACCAAGAAACCGAAACAAUCAACGGUAUCUCUGAUACUCAGAUAUUAGAUGUUUCAUGCAGAAUCUAAACAGAAAUAUUUAUUUCAAUCCUAUACACACUUCUGACUUCUCAGAAUACCCCUAGAAAUGAUAUCGAGCUUGUUUCUUGCAGAGCAAGCUAGACUGUCAGAAGAAUCAUGUUUUGGAUACCCUCAGUGUUACAGCAGGGAGUUGCCUUGAGAACUGAGAACUCAAAAGCAGAGAGAAAAAUUCUUAAAUGUUACUGAAUACCUGUAGGAAAUAUUAGCAGAGUUUUAGCUGACUUCACUAUGUAUUUAACGCUAACUUAUUUGUCCCUUAACUGUACUAAAUCUUUUAAUAGCACUUUUUCAGGAUUGGAGCAGUCCGGGAAAAUUCCAGGCUUUACUUUGGCUUCUUAGCCAAGAAGAGAAACAAUCUGCAAAGCAGAAAUAUGUUAGCAGACAAAACCUGAAGUGUUCAGACACUAGGGAAGGUUGGAUUGAUUUUCUCAGACAACAGGGCAAAGGACUUCUAUGCACAGCUGCCUCCAGCCAGCAUUUGCCUGAAGAUAAUACUGGCUAUUUUCAGUUUUUAGGUUUACUUACUUUUUCAUUUGGGCACCAUCCAAGAAUGAUGAAAAGACCACACUACUUUUCUAGAGCACUUACAAGAAGACAAUAAUACUGAAUAAGAAUACACUGAACUUGUUCUAGUUAUGAAUGGUGUAAAGUAAUAUAGACUUUUUUUUUCCCCUGAAUUUCUAACUUUUUCAGAGGGUAGAGGGAGACACCUACUACCAUGUCACUCAAUAAUAACAUUAUUUACUCAGAAUUGUUCUUAAAAAUCAAACCUUUUCUUCCUAGUCUUCACUUUCACAGCUGAUUUUACAUGAAAAGUGCUCCUUGGGCACAGUUGGUCUUGUAAUGACCCAAGUAGAAUCCUUUACAAAGAUAAGUAAACUUAUUGUUUGCCAUUCUGAAUAUAAUGGCUCAAAUCAACUAUAUUGUAUUUUGCCUUCUGAGUCUGCAGACAUCUCAAAACAAUUCCUCUGAAAAAUGUUCCUGUACAAAUAAGAUGAUCACAUGAGAAACAGUGAGUGGAAGCUUUUAUUGAUGCUAUUAUCUCAGGCUCUCAAAAUUUACCAAAGCAUUUCCAUUACAUCAGUUUUCAAUAUUGAUGCAAGAAUCAGUCAGGAAAUAUUAUAUUUGCAUUUAAAUUAAAUGGCUACAAAAACAUUCAGGCCUCAUUGACUUUUGUAUUCCUUUCUUUUCCUCAUUUCAUGCCUUUAAAAAUGUGCGUGUAACAAAUAUAUAUUGACAUGUGCAUGUGUUUUGAGAAUUUAUAAGGAAAUCUUGGAGAAUCUAGUGUCUUUGAUAAAGACUUUGGGUACAGUUUACCCCAGUAUAUAUAAGCAUUGUGAACAAUCCUGGUUUAGUUGCAUUUUUAAAUUGGAUAGCAGCUUUGUUUUGGAUUACAUGCAUUCUGUGGUUUGCUGACACAACAAUGUAGUCUCUAACUUCAAAAUCAAGUCCAGAAAAAAUAGAUCAUUUUAAGCCACAUGCUCCAGGCUGUCAAACAGCCUCCAAGUGGCUAUCAACUGUAUUUUCUAGUAAGACCAGCGGAAAGCCUUUCAUAAUCUGGGUCAUGCUGGAGUUUUAUGUUUUUGGGAAAAGUAUUCCUAGCUUUCAGAACAAAAUGCGUCUUUAAACUUUUUAACAAUACAGCAUAUGUAAACCAGAUAUCUUUCUGCAAGCUCUCCGCUUCUGUUUCAUUCUUUUCUUCUGUGUUUCUUCUCAUAAGUUAUAUAUCACUCCUUUAUGUUAUCUAUAUCAAAAGAUCCAUACAGUAAAACUUUUGUAUUUAGUUAUCUAAAUUCCUCCUCUUUCUGGUUUUGACUACAUUCUUUUCUCCGCUGGAAAAGCAAGAGAUGAGUGGAUCUCCAAAGCCACACAACAUUUAUUUUUUUUUCAUUGUCCUCACAUUUUAAGAUGUGUAAUCCAUUAGUGGAAGAAAGUGUA